rnacentral:rRNA from 1 species
AGGGUUUGAUCAUGGCUCAGGAUGAACGCUAGCGGCAGGCUUAACACAUGCAAGUCGAGGGGUAGAAGCAGCUUGCUGCUUUGAGACCGGCGCACGGGUGCGUAACGCGUAUACAAUCUACCUUUUACAGAGGGAUAGCCCAGAGAAAUUUGGAUUAAUACCUCAUAGUAUUUUCGAAUCGCAUGGUUUGAUUAUUAAAGUUCCAACGGUAAAAGAUGAGUAUGCGUCCCAUUAGCUAGAUGGUAAGGUAACGGCUUACCAUGGCAACGAUGGGUAGGGGUCCUGAGAGGGAGAUCCCCCACACUGGUACUGAGACACGGACCAGACUCCUACGGGAGGCAGCAGUGAGGAAUAUUGGGCAAUGGAGGCAACUCUGACCCAGCUAUGCCGCGUGAAGGAUGAAGGUCCUCUGGAUUGUAAACUUCUUUUGUAUGGGGAUAAACUUUUCUACGUGUAGAAAACUGAAGGUACCAUACGAAUAAGGAUCGGCUAACUCCGUGCCAGCAGCCGCGGUAAUACGGAGGGUCCAAGCGUUAUCCGGAUUUCUUGGGUUUAAAGGGUCC